rnacentral:snoRNA from 1 species
CCAUAAUGUGGACAUCUUUGGAUCAACAUCUUAAAAUGCUCCCAACCUUCAUUAAAGCUUUCUCCUUCUAGUUGCUUAAAUGUAGCGAUCUCUCUCCUUAAUUG